UACGUAGGGGGGCAAGCGUUGUCCGGAAUCAUUGGGCGUAAAGAGCGUGUAGGCGGUCCGGUCAGUCGGUUGUGAAAGUCAAGGGCUCAACCCUUGAAUGCCGGCCGAUACUGCCGGGCUAGAGUCCGGAAGAGGUGAGUGGAAUUCCUGGUGUAGCGGUGAAAUGCGCAGAUAUCAGGAGGAACACCGAUGGCGAAGGCAGCUCACUGGGACGGUACUGACGCUGAGACGCGAAAGCGUGGGGAGCAAACAGG
rnacentral:rRNA from 1 species